rnacentral:rRNA from 1 species
UAGGGAAUAUUGCGCAAUGGGCGAAAGCCUGACGCAGCAACGCCGCGUGGGUGAUGAAGCUUCUUGGAGUGUAAAACCCUGUCAGUGGGGAAGAAACGUAUCGGGAGUCACUGCCCGGUACCUGACGGUACCCACAGAGGAAGUCCCGGCUAACUCCGUGCCAGCUGCCGCGGUAAUACGGGGGGGACAAGCGUUGUUCGGAUUCACUGGGCGUAAAGGGCGCGUAGGCGGGCCUUCAAGUCAGGUGUGAAAACUGGCAGCUCAACUGCCAGCUUGCACUUGAUACUGUCGGUCUUGAGUACAGGAGGGGAAAGUGGAAUUCCUGGUGUAGAGGUGAAAUUCGUAGAUGGCAGGAGGAACACCGGUGGCGAAGGCGACUUCCUGGCCCUAUACUGACGCUGAGACGCGAGAGCGUGGGUAGCAAACA